rnacentral:rRNA from 1 species
AUUGAACGCUGGCGGCAGGCCUAACACAUGCAAGUCGAGCGGCAGCGGGAAAGUAGCUUGCUACUUUUGCCGGCGAGCGGCGGACGGGUGAGUAAUGCCUGGGAAAUUGCCCAGUCGAGGGGGAUAACAGUUGGAAACGACUGCUAAUACCGCAUACGCCCUACGGGGGAAAGCAGGGGACCUUCGGGCCUUGCGCGAUUGGAUAUGCCCAGGUGGGAUUAGCUAGUUGGUGAGGUAAUGGCUCACCAAGGCGACGAUCCCUAGCUGGUCCGAGAGGAUGGUCAGCCACACUAGAACUGAGACACGGUCCAGACUCCUACGGGAGGCAGCAGUGGGGAAUAUUGCACAAUGGGGGAGACCCUGAUGCAGCCAUGCCGCGUGUGUGAAGAAGGCCUUCGGGUUGUAAAGCACUUUCAGCGAGGAGGAAAGGUUGAUGCCUAAUACGUAUCAACUGUGACGUUACUCGCAGAAGAAGCACCGGCUAACUCCGUGCCAGCCGCCGCAGUAAGAC